rnacentral:rRNA from 1 species
AUGGCGCUGACCAGCUCGGCAACAGCGUUGGCAGCAGUGCUGCUGCUGGCGUUGCAGCUCCCUGCAGCGGCGGCGGCCGACGUGCCUCCACCGCCUAACAGCUGCACCCGCAUGUGCGGCAACGUGAGCGUGCCGUACCCGUUCGGCGUCGGCCCGGCCGAAUGCUACUGGCCGGGCUUCAACCUCACCUGCCACACGAGCGGUCGGGAGGAGGCGCCAAGGCUGCUGCUCGGCGACGGCACCCUCCAAGUGGCGGAGAUCUCCAUCAAAAACAGCACGGUGCGCGUCAUGCGCGCCGGCGAUGUAGAAGUCGACGCUGCCGGCAACGGCUUGUUCGGCUGCGGCCUUGCGGACGACGGCCCCUACACGCUGUCUAACUCUAGCGAGCUCGUCGCAGUUGGUUGCAACGUGUAUGCGAUACUCCAAGAGAAGAACAAGCUCACCAUGCUGAGCGGUUGUGCCUCAUUCUGCGACGAAGUCUUCGUCGCAGACAAUGCGACUGCGAUUUAUCUGGAGGAACGAGGGAGUUCCCCCGGAACCAAAUACAACAUGGGCAGCUGCCAGGCGCCCCUCAUCCCCGCGCACUACGUCGGGAAUGGCGUUCCGGGCCAGGUGAGGUUAAAAUAUUUCGGUUCGAACGGCAGCAUCUACAAAAUGUUGCGGGCGAUGGUGUUCGUCGCGGAGCAGGGGUGGUAUCCUCCGUUAGAAAUGGACUAUCAUAGACCAGAUAAGAUGGCAGUUCCAUUUCUUCUGGACUGGCUGAUCGUUGCCCCAGGUCGGCUGGCUAGCGCGGAGUUGACCGACGGCAGGUGCACCUCGGUCGAAGCCCGCGACGUCUGCAAGAGCAGCGAAAGCAGCUGCCGGAAACCUACUAGAGGCUAUAUUUGCUCUUGCCGGCAUGGUUACCAAGGCAAUCCUUACAUCACCGACGGGUGCCAAGAUAUCAACGAGUGCGACUUCCCUGCAAAAGACACCGAGUGCUAUGGCGAAUGUACCAACACACAGGGAUCUUUCGAGUGUCGUUGCCCGCAAGGAACCAUUGGCAACCAUGCCCUGCCCAAUGGCUGCAUCGAACCCGCCAAGCAGCCUGCAAAGCCCAGAAACACAGGUUUAAGCACCGGAAUAGGAGUUGGCAGUGGGGCAAGUGUUAUUGUCUUUAUUGUCAUGGUAUUUUUCAUGAUGCAAAAGUAUAAACACCAAAGGGCAACAAAAUUGAGACAUAAAUUCUUUGAGCAAAAUCGUGGUCAAUUGUUGCAACAAUUGGUAUCUCAGAGAGUUGAUACUGCAGAAAGAAUGAUCAUAAGUUUGGAAGAGCUAGAGAAGGCAACGAACAAUUUUGACAAAUCUCGUGAGCUUGGUGGCGGCGGGCAUGGUACCGUCUACAAAGAGAUUUUAUCGGAUCUCCAUGUAGUUGCCAUCAAGAAGCCUAAGGUGGUGGUGCAGAAAGAGAUUGGUGAGUUUAUUAAUGAGGUUGCUAUCUUGUCCCAAGUCAACCAUAGAAAUGUUGUAAAACUCUAUGGUUGUUGCCUUGAAACAGAGGUCCCAAUGUUGGUCUACGAGUUUGUAUCCAAUGGGACCCUUUAUGAUCACCUUCAUGCCAGGUCAUUGUCGUGGGACGACAGGCUACGCAUAGCCACUGAAACAGCCAAAUCUCUUGCUUAUCUUCACUCGUCCGUCUCAAUACCUAUCAUCCAUAGAGAUAUCAAGUCUGUUAACAUACUUUUGGAUGAUACUUUAACAUCAAAGGUAGCGGACUUUGGAGCUUCAAGGUACAUUCCAAUGGAGCAAUCAGGGGUAACAACAAUGGUGCAAGGUACAAUAGGAUAUUUAGAUCCUAUGUACUUCUACACAUCACGCCUCACGGAUAAGAGUGAUGUUUAUAGCUUUGGUGUCAUUCUUGUAGAACUGUUGACUCGAAAGAAGCUCUUUUCAUACAUGUCCUCUGGAGGUGAUAGCCUUGUUGCAAAUUUUGUUACCCUGCUUGCAGAAGGCAGCUUAUUGCAGAUAUUAGAUCCACGAGUGAUCGAAGAGGGAGGCAUAGAAGUUGAAGAAGUGGCUAAGCUUGCGGUAACAUGUGUGAAAAUUAAAGGAGAGGAUCGUCCAACCAUGAGGCAAGUGGAAAUGACACUAGAAUGCCUUCAAACAUCCACGGACCAUGUUCUAGAUGGUCAGGUGGCCGAGGAAUUUGAGAGGGGUGGCGUUGCAAUAAUUCCACCAUCAACUAAUAGUGCCGAAAGGAACAAUGAUGAUUCAACAAGACAAUACAGCUUAGAAGAUGAGUUUAUGUUAUCCUCAAGGUACCCUCGGUAG